UUUGAAGGGUAUUUCUCGGCAGG
rnacentral:piRNA from 1 species